rnacentral:rRNA from 1 species
UCGGGAAUUUUGGGCAAUGGGCGAAAGCCUGACCCAGCAACGCCGCGUGAGGGAUGAAGUAUUUCGGUAUGUAAACCUCGAAAGAAUGGGAAGAAUAAAUGACGGUACCAUUUAUAAGCUCCGGCUAACUACGUGCCAGCAGCCGCGGUAAUACGUAGGGAGCAAGCGUUGUUCGGAUUUACUGGGCGUAAAGGGCGCGUAGGCGGCGCGGUAAGUCACUUGUGAAAUCUCUGAGCUUAACUCAGAACGGCCAAGUGAUACUGCUGUGCUAGAGUGCGGAAGAGUUAACCGGAAUUCUUGGUGUAGCGGUGAAAUGCGUAGAUAUCAAGAGGAACACCUGAGGCGAAGGCGGGUUGCUGGGCCGACACUGACGCUGAUGCGCGAAAGCCAGGGGAGCAAAC